GACAGAGGGUGCAAACGUUGUUCGGAAUUACUGGGCGUAAAGCGCGUGUAGGCGGCCCUGCAAGUCGGGUGUGAAAUCCCGCGGCUCAACCGUGGAAGUGCACUCGAAACUGCAGGGCUAGAGUCCUGGAGAGGAAGGUGGAAUGCUUGGUGUAGAGGUGAAAUUCGUAGAUAUCAAGCGGAACACCGGUGGCGAAGGCGGCCUUCUGGACAGUGACUGACGCUGAGACGCGAAAGCGUGGGGAGCAAACAGGG
rnacentral:rRNA from 1 species